UUAGGAAUUUUGGGCAAUGGGCGAAAGCCUGACCCAGCAACGCCGCGUGGGUGAUGAAGGCCCUCGGGUCGUAAAGCCCUUUUCCAGGGGAAGAUAGUGACGGUACCCUGGGAAUCAGCCCCGGCUAACUACGUGCCAGCAGCCGCGGUAAUACGUAGGGGGCAAGCGUUGUCCGGAUUUAUUGGGCGUAAAGCGCUCGCAGGUGGUUCGUUGCGUCGUGCGUGAAAGACCCCGGCUCAACUGGGGGGCGUCGUGCGAUACGGGCGGACUAGAGGCCAGUAGGGGGAUGCGGAAUUCCGGGUGUAGUGGUGGAAUGCGUAGAGAUCCGGAGGAACACCAGCGGCGAAGGCGGCAUCCUGGACUGGUCCUGACACUCAGGAGCGAAAGCGUGGGGAGCGAUCCGG
rnacentral:rRNA from 1 species